CCGGCCAGCAGGACCAGAUGAGCACUGAUAAUUACCAACUGGCAGUGUGGGGCUAAGGACACCUUCAGUGAGUUUCGCCCUUUCCUGCAUGGCGCGCACCCUUCAAAGAGAUUGUGCAGUUUCUUUGUUCAGUCCCAGAGGACGUGUUUUAGCUCAGAGGUUCCUCUUUCAUAGCCCAGGAGACGCAUGCCGUUCUCAGUGGGGGUGGCAGUCAUGGCGUCGCGGGGCAUCUGGCGGGCUACUCCGCGAAAAGUUGGAGAGAUCAGGAUUUCAGCUGGAGAGACAGGUUGCAUGACCAGGAUCUGGCACUGGCUGGAAGAGUGGUCAGUCAGGUAUAGGACACUGUGGGGUUGGACUGGCACUCCAAAUAAAUGUGAAGGUUGGAGACCAAAGACACAGUGAGGUGGAGUCUCUCUUUUGCAAGAUUUGUUUGGAUUAGUGCACCAUGAUCCAAAUUAAAGUUCAAUAUUAACCAU